rnacentral:rRNA from 1 species
AGGAUGAACGCCGGCGGUGUGCUUAAUACAUGCAAGUCGAACGCGUUGGCCCAAUUGAUUGAUGGUGCUUGCACCUGAUUGAUUUUGGUCGCCAACGAGUGGCGGACGGGUGAGUAACACGUAGGUAACCUGCCCAGAAGCGGGGGACAACAUUUGGAAACAGAUGCUAAUACCGCAUAACAACGUUGUUCGCAUGAACAACGCUUAAAAGAUGGCUUCUCGCUAUCACUUCUGGAUGGACCUGCGGUGCAUUAGCUUGUUGGUGGGGUAACGGCCUACCAAGGCGAUGAUGCAUAGCCGAGUUGAGAGACUGAUCGGCCACAAUGGGACUGAGACACGGCCCAUACUCCUACGGGAGGCAGCAGUAGGGAAUCUUCCACAAUGGGCGCAAGCCUGAUGGAGCAACACCGCGUGAGUGAAGAAGGGUUUCGGCUCGUAAAGCUCUGUUGUUAAAGAAGAACACGUAUGAGAGUAACUGUUCAUACGUUGACGGUAUUUAACCAGAAAGUCACGGCUAACUACGUGCCAGCAGCCGCGGUAAUACGUAGGUGGCAAGCGUUAUCCGGAUUUAUUGGGCGUAAAGAGAGUGCAGGCGGUUUUCUAAGUCUGAUGUGAAAGCCUUCGGCUUAACCGGAGAAGUGCAUCGGAAACUGGAUAACUUGAGUGCAGAAGAGGGUA